UACGGAGGGUGCAAGCGUUGCUCGGAAUUAUUGGGCGUAAAGCGCACGCAGGCGGUCGAUUAAGUCGGUUGUGAAACGCCCGGGCUCAACCCGGGACCUGCAGCCGAUACUGGUUGACUGGAGUACGGAAGAGGGGAGCGGAAUUCCCAGUGUAGAGGUGAAAUUCGUAGAGAUUGGGAGGAACACCGGUGGCGAAAGCGGCUCCCUGGUCCGAUACUGACGCUCAGGUGCGAAAGCGUGGGGAGCAAACAGG
rnacentral:rRNA from 1 species